rnacentral:rRNA from 1 species
GACGAACGCUGGCGGCGUGCUUAACACAUGCAAGUCGAACGGGCCCGCUCUCUUUUUUGGGGGUGGGUUGAGUGGCGAACGGGUGAGUAUCACGUGAGUAACCUGCCCCCUGCUCCUGGAUAACUGCUUGAAAGGGCGGCUAAUACGGGGUGUGCCGGCUGGUCCGCAUGGGCCUGGUCGGGAUAGUUUCAUCUUCGGGUGUUUCGGUGGGGGAUGGGCUCGCGGCCUAUCAGCUUGUUGGUGGGGUGAUGGCCCACCAAGGCGGUGAUGGGUAGCCGGCCUGAGAGGGUGGGCGGCCACACUGGGACUGAGACACGGCCCAGACUCCUGCGGGAGGCAGCAGUGGGGGGUAUUGCACAAUGGGCGGAAGCCUGAUGCAGCGACGUCGCGUGAGGGAUGGAGGCCUUCGGGUUGUGAACCUCUUUCUCCGGUGGUGAAGGCCCUGUCCGUUGCGGCGGGGUUGACGGUAGCCGGGUAUGAAGCGCCGGCUAACUACGUG